GUGAAUCAAGCUUGGUUGUGUACAGGAUACUGCACAGAUGUCAGCACUAUUUCACAGGCGGUUUCCACUGUGAGUCCAGAUAUAUUCACUGGAUCCACCAUCAACUUGAAUUAUGACCCGUGUAAUAACUACAACACACUCGACAACUACUGGAGAAGCACACUCAAUUACUGGUCUAGUUAUGGAUACAUAUCCGAUCAUGAUGACAC